UUUCCCCCAACAGUAACACUUUGUUGGUCCCAUUCUCUCACUGGUAGAUACUUGGGUUCUGUGCUACAGUGAACAUGAAUGUGCAAAAUAUCUUUUUAAAAUCUUGCUUUCGAUUCUUUUGGUUGCAUACUCAGAGGUAAUCUUGGUGGGCCCUAUGGUGGUUCUAUGUCUAAUUUGUUUGAGAAACUUCUGUGGUGGAACACAGAAAGGCCUGAGGGUUUGUGAAGUCCUGGGUGAAGGUGUGCUGUUGGUAUGGUUACAUCAUGUCAAGAACUCUAACCUCAGACCAUGGAAAAAUGGCAAAGCCUUCACUGGGGGUGGGGGUGCUCAGAGGGGGUGCAGAAGCUUUGCGUUGGACCACAUGUGGAUGUUGGUAGUGUGUGCAGAAAAUGUUCAUCAUAGCUUUCACCCCACAUAUUUACAGAUAAAGACUGCUCCCUGACAGGGACCGACUGCUCCUUGAGAUGAGCUAGCUCUCUUCUUGUUUGGCUGUAUCUAUAAACCCUGCUUCCUUGUUCAUUUGUGUGUGAUAACGCCACUUCCCCGCUGUUCAACUGUAUAUAAUAGGUGCACCGGGCUUCCGGGGUGCAGUUUUACCAGCAGAGGACACAGUCAACCUGAUGACAGCUUCGCUGCUGUAUGUGUGUUUUGUCUUCAUUCUCUUGCCACCCAGUCAGGUGAGUCCCCACAGCUGUGCAAGAAUGCAGACAACUUCUGUAUAUUCUCACCCUGACCAUAUCAUUUUACGUUGCUAGUAACAACCCACAGACUUUACAAUUUCUCUAUAGCCUGUGUAACACUAACUCGUUGUUCUCCCCCACCACGAGGUGUGCGUGCGUGUGCAUGUGUUUAAACACCAGCCAUCCUAAGGGAUAGUAGUAUGAUGGCUUAAUUUGCAUUACACAAGGAGUCUGUGACACUGAGCAUCUUUUCCUAUGCUUGUGAGCUGUGGCUGGGUCUUUUGGUUUUAGGUUUAGGAUAGGUGAACAUCUUUUCAUUGCUUAUCUGCCAGGCGUGUAUCUUCUUUGGUUAAGUAUCUGUACAGAUAACUUGUCCAUUUUUUAUUUUUUAUAUUUGUAUUACGUGUGUGGUUUGUCUAUAUGUGCACCACAUGCAUGCCUGGUGCCUGCCAAGGUCAGAAAGGGGCAUCAGAUCCCCUGGAGCUGGAGUAAUGGAUGGUUUUGAGCUGCCAUGUGGGUUAUGGAACCCAGCCCUGGUCUUCCACAAGUGUCCAGUGCUUUUAAUUGCUUGCGGAUCUCUCUAGCCCACUUUGAUGCUUUUUUUUUUUUUUUUUUUUUUUUUUUUUUUUUGGUUUUUUAAGACAGGGUUUUUCUGUGUAGCCCUGGCUGUCCUGGAACUCACACUGUAGACCAGGCUGGCCUCGAACUCAGAAAUCCGCCUGCCUCUGCCUCCCAAGUGCUGGGAUUAAAGGCGUGCGCCACCACACCCGGCUACUUUGAUGCAUUUUUUAUAUGUUUCUGUACAUGUAGUUUACUGAGCUGCUUUGGAUCUGUGGUUUAGAAUUUCAAGUUUCGAAUUGGAGUUAUUCAUUAUUUCACUUUUUUCUUUUCUAUUUUUAUGCCCUCCUUAUUUCAUUAGAGAUUCUUUCUACAUGUAAACUAGGGUGCUUAAAGUUGCCCCAGCUCUUUUCAUUAAAAAACAAACAGGGCUGGUGAGAUGGCUCAGUGGGUAAGAGCACCUGACUGCUCUUCCGAAGGACUGAAGUUCAAAUCCCAGCAACCACAUGGUGGCUCACAACCACCCGUAAUGAGAUCCGAUGCCCUCUUCUGGUGCGUCUGAAGACAGCUACAGUGUACUUUACAUAUAAUAAAUAAAUAAAUCAUUAAAAAAAAAAAACAAAAAAACAAACAAACAAAAACCGGGGUCUUCUGUAUUUGGAUAUUUUGUUGCCUUUUCUACUAACAUUUUCUUCUGCAACAUCUUGUCUCCUCUUAACCCAUAUACUGCACUUUCUACCUCAUUCAUGGUAGUUUUCAUUUGUAGAAAUCUCUCUUUCUCUCUCCCUUCCUCUCCUUCCCUCCUCUUCUCUUUGAGACAGGGUUCCUCUGUGUAGGCCUGGCUAUUCUGGAACUCACUCUGUAGACCAGGCUGGCUUCCAAUUUUAGAAAUCCACCUGCCUCUGCCUCCUUAGUGCUGGGAUUAAAGGCGUGUGCAACUACUGC
rnacentral:lncRNA from 1 species